rnacentral:piRNA from 1 species
UGUUAAGAUACAGAACUGUGGGGACCAAGU